AGUGAACGCUGGCGGUAGGCCUAACACAUGCAAGUCGAACGGCAGCACAGUAGGAGCUUGCUCUUACGGGUGGCGCGUGGAGGACGGGUGAGGAAUACAUCGGAAUCUACUUUUUCGUGGGGGGUAACGUAGGGAAACUUACGCUAAUACCGCAUACGACCUACGGGUGAAAGCAGGGAAUCUUCGGACCUUGCGCGAUUGAAUGAGCCGAUGUCGGAUGAGCUAGUUGGCGGGGUAAAGGCCGACCAAGGCGACGAUCCGUAGCUGGUCUGAGAGGAUGAGUAGCCACACUGGAACUGAGACACGGUCCAGAAUCCUACGGGAGGAAGCCGUGGGGAAUAUUGGACAAUGGGCGCAAGCCUGAUCCAGCCAUACCGCGUGGGUGAAGAAGGCCUUCGGGUUGUAAAGCCCUUUUGUUGGGAAAGAAAAGCAGCAGGUUAAUACCCCGCUGUUCUGACGGUACCCAAAGAAUAAGCACCGGCUAACUUCGUG
rnacentral:rRNA from 1 species